AUCAUGAAGGCUGACAGAUUCAUGUGCUAACUGUCUUGUGUGACCAUGGAUUUUGAGCUACAGAAAAAACUGAGAUGAAUUUGGUAAUUUGAAAAAUGCAAAGCAAAUUGAAGAUCUUGAAAAAUUGAAAGGAAUUCUUCGGACAGAUCUGCAAAUUUCCAGUAUAAUGUUUUAAGAGUUAUCUAUGACAACAAUGAAAUGGGAAGAACCCUUGUGAACUGACCCAUCGCCCAAUCCAUACUACAACAGUGAAGGAGAGCACCAUAAGGAAACAGAAUGGAAAGGGUCCUCCCUAGAAGAAGGCAUGCCUCAGUUGGAGGGUUGUGGAGAUUUGCUGGAGGCUCCAGCCACCGGACCCUGCCCAAAGACACCAGAAGCAAAGCCUGGUCCAACUAACGAAGACUCAUUUCCUCCAAAAGAAAGGGUGCCUCAGAGGAAUAACAAAGAAUACGGGAAGACCAAAGAACAGCUGAGAUGAAAUAAACUUCUUUGACAAAAACAUUCCAGCUGAUGUGAAUAGCUGAGUAAAAGCAGUUGGUAUGAGGAUGGGUGCCCACGGUACCCACAAAUAAAAGAAAAAAAAUAAAGAGUAAACACUUAAUAAAAAUCAGAUGUGGCAUGAGUCAAAACUGACUUCCAUCCAGCCCCAAAGGGAUAUCAUCAGGUCCUGAUGAAGAAUUUCCAGUCAGCUCAUGACCAAAUUUAUUUCUGACCUGCCUAUCCAGCUCUCAAUCUUACGUUCUCAAUCAGCAGGCCUGGUUAAAAUUCAGAAGACCAGAAAGCAGCUCACAACAGUUUAAAACCAUAAUACAAUAUGAAACCAACAUUCGGUUAAAAAGAAUUAAAAAACACA